CCCUCAAGAUGGCUGUGCCUGUCAGCUGCACGGAGCUUCGGUCAAGUAUUAUUUUCUGAGCCUGAUGGAUUUACAGUAAAUAUUCAGUCAUCUAGGGAA
rfam:Callithrix jacchus chromosome 16, whole genome shotgun sequence